AUAAAUAAUUAAAACUGUUUUCUUUAUGCGAAUGGCAAGAUUGCAGAAUCCACAUGAAUCAAAUCAUAUCUCGUAUCUUCUUUCUUUUCAAUAGCAAGUAGGAAUUCACUGAAAUACUCAUGUCAAAACUAGGCGAUGAUGAGCUAGCCUCAAUUCUCAACUGGGUCUAUGAUCCAAACGACAGAAAAUCAUGUUCUGUUGUUUGUAAGCAGUGGCUUAGAGUCGAGGGCCAAACCCGUUUAUCCAUUCGAGUUCUUGAACCUGAUCUCCUCUGCAAUUUCUUGCCCAGGUUUCCAAAUUUGGUCACUUUUGAAUCACCGAAACGUUUCUCCAAUACCGAACUUGAAUUCGUCGCCAAAACGUGUCCAAGGCUCGAGUUUCUUAAUCUUAACCUCAGACAAUCUCGCAAUUUGGAUGGGUUUGAUGAGUCAGAAGAUUCUAAUGAUGUCAGUGAUAAUGGUAUUUGUGCUAUAGCAAAUGAGUGCUGCAAAUUAACCAAAGUCUCGUUAAGAAGGAGAAAGAAUGUUGGAAAUGUUGGGGUUAUUGAUCUUGUUAAUUGUGCACAAAAUUUGUCUACUUUGGAUUUGGGGAGGUGUGGUUUGAUCGAUGAUAGCUCUCUUGAAGCAAUUGGGAGUAUGAAUUGUAUUGGGGUUUUGAAUUUUGAAGCUUGUUCAUUAAUUACAGAUCGUGGAUUGGAAUUUCUGGCAACUGGGUCUUCUUCAAGGACCUUGAAAAGGUUACUUGUUGCAGAAUGUGAUAGAAUCACUGAUUUUGGUGUGUCAAUAUUGCAGAAAAUGUGUUGCUUGGAAGAUCUGAAUUUAGCUGAAUGCGGACCUAAAGUGACGGAUUAUGGAGGUUUGGCAAUUGCCUCAAUUUCAAAUCUUAAAAGAUUGAACAUUUCUUGGUUGAUCAAUGUGUCAGACAUUGCACUAGUUGCAAUAGCUGAGAAUUGUAGGAAUUUGGUGGCACUUGAUUUAACAGGAUGUGAAAUGAUUACAGGAGCUGGCCUUUGUUCUUUUGCUAGUCAUAAAUGUUUGGAAAAACUAGUUUUCGCUUCUUGUUACACUAUUUCUGGGGACUCUGUGGUCAGGUUAUUAACGUGCAAGUCACUGUGCUACAUUGUGCUUGAUAAAAGAUUGAAAAUGUGGAUGCCUAAUACAAUUCAACAAAAGAUUGGCAGAUCCUGUCAGUUACAUUGGAGAUGAUUCAAGGGCCAAAAAUGUUUAUUUGAGAGGUAGUCGUGCGGGGAAACUCAAAGCUGAACUGGAUGGGAUUGGGAUGACAGAUGAGGUCCGAGGGGUGUAUUGUUGAUUAAGGCGGAAAUGCAACAUUGGAGCUGUGGUUGAUAAGAAAAAUAACACUAUAUUGAAUAUAUUUAUUAAAGGUUAUUAAAGUUUGUUUUUCAGGUUAUCAACUAUGGACAAAAAUAAUCAACAAGAACGUCUAGUUUGAGCUUUUUUUUUUUCAUUACUACGCUGUCUUUACUUACAUUAGGAUAAAGGAAUUUAUUCAUGGAGACUGAAGAGACCCAGUAUUACUUUUAAUGGUUCUUCUCAGCCAAUAAUGCCCUAAUAAGCACUACCUGUAUUAGUUUUGGAUCCUGCUCUAGAAGUAAGAAUUUUAAAGGUUCCCAUUGCAAUAAGAAUUUUGAUCAAUUGUUAUAUUUUUUUAACUGUUUAUUUUCUCAUAUUUUAUUGAAAUGAAAUGGCUCUCAAUAUUCAAA